rnacentral:rRNA from 1 species
CUGGAGGUAUCAGAAGUGCGAAUGCUGACAUAAGUAACGAUAAAGCGGGUGAAAAGCCCGCUCGCCGGAAGACCAAGGGUUCCUGUCCAACGUUAAUCGGGGCAGGGUGAGUCGACCCCUAAGGCGAGGCCGAAAGGCGUAGUCGAUGGGAAACAGGUUAAUAUUCCUGUACUUGGUGUUACUGCGAAGGGGGGACGGAGAAGGCUAUGUUGGCCGGGCGACGGUUGUCCCGGUUUAAGCGUGUAGGCUGGUUUUCCAGGCAAAUCCGGAAAAUCAAGGCUGAGGCGUGAUGACGAGGCACUACGGUGCUGAAGCAACAAAUGCCCUGCUUCCAGGAAAAGCCUCUAAGCAUCAGGUAACAUCAAAUCGUACCCCAAACCGACACAGGUGGUCAGGUAGAGAAUACCAAGGCGCUUGAGAGAACUCGGGUGAAGGAACUAGGCAA